UAGGGAAUAUUGCGCAAUGGAGGAAACUCUGACGCAGCGACGCCGCGUGGGUGACGAAGGCUUUCGGGUCGUAAAGCCCUGUCGGAAGGGAAGAAAAACGGUAUGGCUAACAUCCAUACCGCUUGACGGUACCUUUAAAGGAAGCACCGGCUAACUACGUGCCAGCAGCCGCGGUAAUACGUAGGGUGCAAGCGUUGUUCGGAAUCAUUGGGCGUAAAGCGCGUGUAGGCGGUUAUUUAAGUCGAUUGUGAAAUCCCUGGGCUCAACCGAGGAAGUGCAGUCGAAACUGAAUAGCUAGAGGAUGGCAGAGGAAGGUGGAAUUCCAAGUGUAGAGGUGAAAUUCGUAGAUAUUUGGAGGAAUACCUGUGGCGAAGGCGGCCUUCUGGACCAUUCCUGACGCUGAGACGCGAAAGCGUGGGGAGCAAACAG
rnacentral:rRNA from 1 species